UGGUGGAGUGAUUUGUCUGGUUAAUUCCGAUAACGAACGAGACUCUACUCUGCUAAAUAGUACACUGAUAAUAAGCAGAGUUGGUGCAGACUUCUUAGAGAGAUUCAUGUCUUCCAGACGUAUGAGAGAGAGAGCAAUAACA
rnacentral:rRNA from 1 species